GAUGAACGCUGGCGGCGUGCCUAAUACAUGCAAGUCGAGCGAACAGACGAGGAGCUUGCUCCUCUGACGUUAGCGGCGGACGGGUGAGUAACACGUGGAUAACCUACCUAUAAGACUGGGAUAACUUCGGGACACCGGAGCUAAUACCGGAUAAUAUAUUGAACCGCAUGGUUCAAUAGUGAAAGACGGUGUUGCUGUCACUUAUAGAUGGAUCCGCGCCGCAUUAGCUAGUUGGUAAGGUAACGGCUUACCAAGGCAACGAUGCGUAGCCGACCUGAGAGGGUGAUCGGCCACACUGGAACUGAGACACGGUCCAGACUCCUACGGGAGGCAGCAGUAGGGAAUCUUCCGCAAUGGGCGAAAGCCUGACGGAGCAACGCCGCGUGAGUGAUGAAGGUCUUCGGAUCGUAAAACUCUGUUAUUAGGGAAGAACAAAUGUGUAAGUAACUAUGCACGUCUUGACGGUACCUAAUCAGAAAGCCACGGCUAACUACGUG
rnacentral:rRNA from 1 species